UGUUGCAGGUGUAAUUCUGUUGAGCACAGGACUUCAUGACAGGAUUGCACAAAUGUUCCCCUCUUCCCCUGUGCAGGAACAAGAGACAACUACAACACCGCUAAGAGGAAUUUCACUUAACAGAAGCUAAGACAAAUCCAACUUGAUCCAGCAUACAAUGAUAAUGUCUUUAAAACCUGCAACGUGGAGGCCCAUUGAGCAGACAAAAAUCUUUCAGAGAGAAAAUAAUCUCCUGCUCUGACUAGAAGGAAGAAGUACUCCACAGCACAUGUGAAGGAGACCACACCUAAUCUGGGGAAGUUCUUGUCCCUGAAAAGUGUGCACAGCUUCUUUAACAUCAAGUUAUUCACAAUUACUUUUAAAAAGCAAUUUAAGUAAGUGAUCCGCUUUUAAGCUCUGAAGAAUCUGCACCAUGUUGAAGCAAAAUACAUCACCAGUUCUUUAACCGUAGUCAAUUCAUACUUUAAUAAACCAGUGAGUUUUAAUGCAAAAUAUGCAUAAAUUGUAUAUAUAUCCCCACAAAAGAACUGACUGGUUAAAAAUUAUUUUUUCAUGUACAACACCAUCUUAACAAUCAUAAAUAAAAUUUACAUAAUAAAAACAUAUUUUGUACACUUUACAUUAAAAUGUAAAAACAGAAACCUCAUUAAAUGAGAAAAAGAACAUGUAAAGCUGCAGAGACCCUUUUGCUAGUAGAAAAGAAGUUACAAAUGCAAGACAAAAGAUAUUUAUUUGUGUGUUUGUUUUGAUGCAUAAAUGAGAUGAAAAUAAGGAAAA